UUCAGGUGAUCCGCCCACCUCGGCUUCCCAAGGUGCUGGGAUUACAGGUGUGAGCCAUGGCACCCAGCCAAUAAUGCUGUUCUAAUAAAUCAGAAGAGUAUCUUUUAUGUGCCAUCUUGGUUAUAUAGUAUAUUCAAACCAGCUGCCUCCAUCAGGACACACCCCCUCUUUUGUUGUUGAUGUUUUGUUAUAGAGACGGGAUCUCACUAUGUUGGCCAGGCUUAUUGAUUGUGAACUCCUGGCUUCAAGCAAUCCUCCCACCUCAGCCUCCUGAACAGCUGCGAUUAUAGGAACAAGCUACCAUGCCCAGCUUAGGACACACCCCCUUUUAUGAAGAUAUAUUAAAAGUAGGGAGAGGGAGCAGCAUAUUAUAGGAAAGAAGAUCUAAAAGUUUCUAGCGCCUCAGUUUAUCCAGUUGCCUUUGAAACAAUGCUGUCUUGGGAUUGUAACCAGAAGAAAGAAAAAAACUGGUACUAUAUAAAUUAGAACUUUUACUAACUUGUAGUCUUAAAUUCUAUGUGCCAAAACCAAAAUAUAGACUUUGAUUCAAGGGUGCUUAUACCAAAAGUAAAGUUGAUACUUGGCAAUCUAAUAAAACUAUACUGUGGUUCUUACAUUUUAAAAAUUAGGCCUUUGUCCCUAGUUUAAGGGUCUGCAUUAUCUAAUAAAAGUGGUAUAAUUCUUCCUAACUGAAAAAAGGUUCUUGGUGGUGAAGAUGUGAUGGAAAAUUUUCUCUGUGAUAUAAAGGUUCCUGCUGUUGCUAAAUCUUCAACUAGGUCUCAAUAAGUACAAAUUACCCUCUCAAUUAGAAACAAGGUAGGAAGUGAAGGGAUUUUUGGAGUGUGUUCUGGAUCCCGAGGCUUGUUUUCUGCUAAUAAUUACAUUUAUCUUCUAAUUUAGUUACCGUGCAUUGUCUAACAAAAACAAGAAGCAUCUCUUAUUCUAUGGCUGUCUUCCCAAUCUACCAUGGUUUCCCAACUUUGGGCUUUUAUAAGUACUGCUUGUUUACUUUGAUCUACAAGCUUACCAAGUUCAUUGUCCCGUGCUUAAUGCCUUAUCACAAAUGGGAUAGGAACUGAUUUCUUUCUAAAGUGAUCUUCCAAAGCUAUCUGAUAUUUCUUUAUCAGUAGUGAAAAAUUAAAUUGGCUGCCACUUCUCAUCUCUUUUCGAACUACUUAUUUGCCUUCAAGUAAUCAUGCUGUCACUUGAUGUCUUUAAAAAUGAAAAGGGAACCAUUUAAAGAAGUAGAUAGUAAACCUGUCUCUUAGAUUCUUCCCUUUCCUUUCAAGUUCUGAACUCUGGAGUACUAAAUACUAAUUCAUUCCUUCAGUGACUUAAUAAUACAUUUACUAUGCAUUAACAAUAAAAGUAUUUAGAAACGUAUUUAACUAGCAUUAUUGUACAACUAACAUUUGUUCGGGAGUUCAUAGAAAAGGACCUAAGAAUAAGCCAAUUACUUCACUUACACCUUUUUAUAAACAGUUUUAGUUAAAAGCCUACUUGGUAUUUCAAGCAUUCCAUUUCAUGUCACAUUUUUCAUUCACCUGCCAGGAUGCUUUUUAUUUGAGAAAAAUAUCCAUUUAUGAUAUGAAAUUAAAUGUUUCAGACUCAUCCAUUUUUAAUAUGAUGUAUGAAAUCUUAAGGGUUUAUCCUGGGUACAUUGUGGUAUAAAAGUAUAGUGACUACGACAGUAUAUACAGAUUGUAUAAUAGCUGUAAAAGACUAUUAACUUUUAGGUCACCUGCCAAGGCCACAAUUUUUUAUCCUUUAUCUGUUGAUGUAGAAUAUUCCCGUUUAUCUUCUUGUCCUUCUCUGUUGUUCUUAAGGAAUUCCUUCAAAAUACUAUCAAUCCAUUAUCGUGUAUAUAUGCUAGGAAUAUAUUUCUCACAUCUAAAUUUUGCUUUUUUCCUAUAGUUUGUCAGAGGAAUGGCUGUGAAUGGAUGCCUGGAAGGACCAUCCUCUAAAUUUCUCAGUUGCCUGUUCAUUGUGGCAUUGGUUGGCAAUGAAUCUACUCAUCUUUUAUGUCUUUAGCAACCAGCCACCCAGGACUGCAUUUUCCAUAAAUGAAUGAAUUACUGUUACAAAUCUUACAUGUGAAAGGAUCCAUAAUUCUGGGACAGACAGAAUUCAAGCUGAACAUGUUGGCCUGUAAUGUCAAACCUGGGAAGGAGAUUUAUUUGCUACAGAAUCAUAUGUCAAGCUAAAAUUUACCUUAUGAGAUUUGUUGAAAUAACAUUCUGGAUAGAACUCCCAAAUCUAUCCAAUCUAGUUUGUUUCUUACUCAUUAAAGAAUAUUUGAUAAUGA